ACUAUUUGGAAUCCACAUUAUGUUAUUUAACAUGCUGUACUGUACUUUCCUUUCUCAGAUAAUACAUUUACUGUUUUUAUAGGUUCAAAAAAAAGGUGGUACUUCAAGUACUAAUCUUGUUUCCAAGUUGCUGGCAAGGAGAAAGGAACAUUCCCAGACAGCAAACUGAAGUAUGAUGACCAGUCUGCAUCAAGAGAUUAUCAGAUUUGCAAAGCCUAGUUGGAGAGUUGAGGCAUUCCCUGAGUGGACAGCUUUGUCCACAGAACUUGACAUCGCCAAGACGUUCUAUCCCAUCUGCAGCAGCUUCCCCUUCAGCCUCAUCUUUUGAAUCAAGCUCAUUAGAUUCUGACAGUUCUAAUGAAACCGUGUUGAUUGGUGAGGGUAUCAAGGUCAACCGUACUCUGUUACGGAGGUGCAACCAUAGUCAACCAACAAAGCUGGUCUGUGAUCUUCUAGCAGUUGUUUUUAGCUGCAAUGAGUUGGCCACUCACUCCUUAACUGGCCAAAGAGCCAGUUCAAAGGAAAUGGUAAAGCCACCCUUCAACACCAAGAAGGUCAAUGCUA